GCGUUUGAUUCAACAAAAUUUAGUUUUUUUUUAAAAAUAGGUCACUAUCAAGCAGUUCGUAAUCUAGUAUUAAGUGCAUGAUAUUGAUGAACUCUAUUUCUUGGAACAAAGAACCUUUCUAUAAUAAAUAUUACUAUUCCAGUUUAGGUCUGCUUAAACCAUCAGAAGUUGUAAAUUUGAAUCAAGUGAAUUAUUCUUUAUAAUAUAUUUAUGUAUAAAUUGCAAGCCAUUAGAAAUAAAAUGAUAUCUG
rnacentral:misc_RNA from 1 species